GAAUAUUGGGCAAUGGGGGCAACCCUGACCCAGCAAUGCCGCGUGCAGGAGGAGGCCCUUCGGGGUGUAAACUGCUUUUGUGGGGGAGCAGACAAGGAGCGUACCCCACGAACAAGUCACGGCUAACUACGGUCCAGCAGCCGCGGUAAUACGUAGGUGGCGAACGUUAUCCGGAGUAACUGGGUGUAAAGGGUCCGUAGGCGGGAGGGCAAGUCCCGUGUGAAAGCGCCCGGCUCAACUGGGCGAGUGCGCUGGAAACUGCCCUUCUUGAAUCACGCAGAGGUCGGCGGAAUUCCCGGUGUAGUGGUGGAAUGCGUAGAGAUCGGGAGGAACCUCGAAAGCGAAGGCAGCCGACUGGGGGAUGAUUGACGCUGAGGGACGAAAGCGUGGGGAGCGAACAGG
rnacentral:rRNA from 1 species